CUUGAAAUGGGCUGAGUCCCUCUUGCUCACCCUUGACUUGGAAAAACCAGUUUCUCUUUUAUUGUCUGUUACUAAUCUCUAUUCUAAAAAUUCAGCUCAAUUCUCAACCAUACUCCAAACUCUCUCUUUUCCAGCUACCUUUACUCCCUCUCCUUCAAUUCCACUUUCCUCUGCUUACUUUUUUUUUUUUUCUGACAGGGUCUCACUUUGUCGCCCGGGCAGGAGUGCAGUGGCUCAAUCUUGGGCUCACUGCAGCCUCAACCUCCCAGGUUCAAGCGAUUCUCCUGCCUCAGCCCCUCAAGUAGCUGGGACUACAAGCGCACACCACCACGCCUGACUAAUUUUUUGUAUUUUUUUGUAGAGGCGGGGUUUCACCAUGUUGCCCAGACUGGUCUUGAACUCCUGAGCUUAAGCAAUCCACCUGCCUCGGCCUCCCAAAGUGUUGGGAUCACAGGCGUGAGCCACCGCAUCCGGCCUCAUGUUCUUUUUCAUUAAAGAGAGAAAUCAACUAUUCAGGACCGGCCCCCACCUUUCCUCAGGAGUCAUUUCUGUUCCGCACAGGCCUGCUGAACUGGGUGCUUUAUAUAGGACACUGUCAUCUCUCAAGUACCCAUCUUGGAGGGUACGGACCCCACAUGAGGAAAGGACCAACCACACCGAGCUCAGUUAUGGCACACACAGUGGGACCUAGACAAAGGGAGAGGGUGACCGACAUCCCAACUAGGGUCCCCAGGCAGGUGGCUGGGACACUAUUUGCAAUCAGCAAGGAACCCUGCUGCCCUUAGACUCCCCACAGAGCAAGCAGAACUUGCAGAAUGGGGUAAAAACACUCUAUUAAAGAUUUUUUAAACCUAUUUAUAUUGUAAUAAAGUAAAUGUAAAUAAAAUUUA
rnacentral:lncRNA from 10 species